rnacentral:rRNA from 1 species
UAGGCCUAACACAUGCAAGUCGAACGGCAGCGCGGGUGCUUGCACCUGGCGGCGAAAGGCGAACGGGUGAGUAAUACAUCGGAACGUGCCCUAGAGUGGGGGAUAACUAGUCGAAAGAUUAGCUAAUACCGCAUACGAUCUACGGAUGAAAGUGGGGGACCGCAAGGCCUCAUGCUCCUGGAGCGGCCGAUGUCUGAUUAGCUAGUUGGUGGGGUAAAAGCCUACCAAGGCGACGAUCAGUAGCUGGUCUGAGAGGACGACCAGCCACACUGGGACUGAGACACGGCCCAGACUCCUACGGGAGGCAGCAGUGGGGAAUUUUGGACAAUGGGGGCAACCCUGAUCCAGCAAAGCCGCGUGUGUGAAGAAGGCCUUCGGGUU